AUUGAACGCUGGCGGCAUGCUUUACACAUGCAAGUCGAACGGCAGCGCGGGCUUCGGCCUGGCGGCGAGUGGCGAACGGGUGAGUAAUGCAUCGGAACGUGCCCAGUAGUGGGGGAUAGCCCGGCGAAAGCCGGAUUAAUACCGCAUACGACCUGAGGGUGAAAGCGGGGGACCGAAAGGCCUCGCGCUAUUGGAGCGGCCGAUGUCGGAUUAGCUAGUUGGUGGGGUAAAGGCUUACCAAGGCGACGAUCCGUAGCUGGUCUGAGAGGACGACCAGCCACACUGGGACUGAGACACGGCCCAGACUCCUACGGGAGGCAGAAGUGGGGAAUUUUGGACAAUGGGGGCAACCCUGAUCCAGCCAUGCCGCGUGCGGGAAGAAGGCCUUCGGGUUGUAAACCGCUUUUGUUCGGGAAGAAAUCCUCUGGGCUAAUACCCCGGGGGGAUGACGGUACCGGAAGAAUAAGCACCGGCUAACUACGU
rnacentral:rRNA from 1 species